rnacentral:rRNA from 1 species
UACGAAGGGUGCAAACGUUGCUCGGAAUUAUUGGGCGUAAAGCGCACGUAGGCGGCUUCGCAAGUCGGAUGUGAAAUCCCUCGGCUUAACCAAGGAAGUGCAUCCGAAACUGCAGAGCUUGAGUACUUAAGAGGAUCGCGGAAUUCCCGGUGUAGAGGUGAAAUUCGUAGAUAUCGGGAGGAACACCAGUGGCGAAGGCGGCGAUCUGGGAAGAUACUGACGCUGAGGUGCGAAAGCGUGGGGAGCAAACAGG